rnacentral:rRNA from 1 species
AUUGAACGCUGGCGGCAGGCCUAACACAUGCAAGUCGAGCGGAUGAAGGGAGCUUGCUCCUGGAUUCAGCGGCGGACGGGUGAGUAAUGCCUAGGAAUCUGCCUGGUAGUGGGGGAUAACGUCCGGAAACGGGCGCUAAUACCGCAUACGUCCUGAGGGAGAAAGUGGGGGAUCUUCGGACCUCACGCUAUCAGAUGAGCCUAGGUCGGAUUAUCUAGUUGGUGGGGUAAAGGCCUACCAAGGCGACGAUCCGUAACUGGUCUGAGAGGAUGAUCAGUCACACUGGAACUGAGAAACGGCCCAGACGCCUACGGGAGGCAGCAGUGGGGAAUAUUGGACAAUGGGCGAAAGCCUGAUCCAGCCAUGCCGCGUGUGUGAAGAAGGUCUUCGGAUUGUAAAGCACUUUAAGUUGGGAGGAAGGGCAGUAAGUUAAUACCUGGCUGUUUUGACGUUACCAACAGAAUAAGCACCGGCUAACUUCGU